GGGCUAUUAGCUCAGGUGGUUAGAGCGCUGUCCUGAUAAGACAGAGGUCGCUGGUUCAAGUCCAGCAUAGCCCA